rnacentral:tRNA from 1 species
GAGGCUGUAGUUCAGUGGUAGAGCAUUUGCCUAACAUGUGCAAGGGCCUGUGUUUGAUCCUCAGCACCACA